rnacentral:rRNA from 1 species
UACAGCGGGUGCGAGCGUUAAUCGGAAUUACUGGGCGUAAAGCGUGCGUAGACGGUUUUGUAAGUCGGAUGUGAAAUCCCCGGGCUCAACCUGGGAAUUGCAUUCGAGACUGCAAGGCUUGGGUGCGGAAGAGGGAAGCGGAAUUUCCGGUGUAGCGGUGAAAUGCGUAGAUAUCGGAAGGAACAUCAGUGGCGAAAGCGGCUUCCUGGUCCAGCACCGACGUUCAGGCACGAAAGCGUGGGGAGCAAACAGG